AUUGAACGCUGGUGGCAGGCCUAACACAUGCAAGUCGAGCGAGCGGCGGACGGGUGAGUAAUGUAUGGGGAUCUGCCCGAUAGAGGGGGAUAACUACUGGAAACGGUAGCUAAUACCGCAUACCAUCAGAUGUGCCCAGAGGGGAUUAGCUAGUGGGUGGGGUAUUGGCUCACCUAGGCGACGAUCCCUAGCUGGUCUGAGAGGAGGAUCAGCCACACUGGGACUGAGACACGGCCCAGACUCCUACGGGAGGCAGCAGUGGGGAAUAUUGCACAAUGGGCGCAAGCCUGAUGCAGCCAUGCCGCGUGUAUGAAGAAGGCCUUCGGGUUGUAAAGUACUUUCAGUCGGGAAGCGUUACUCGCAGAAGAAGCACCGGCUAACUCCGUGCCAGCAGCCGCGGUAAUAC
rnacentral:rRNA from 1 species